rnacentral:rRNA from 1 species
UACAGAGGUCUCAAGCGUUGUUCGGAUUCAUUGGGCGUAAAGGGUGCGUAGGUGGCGCCGUAAGUCGGGUGUGAAAUUUCGGAGCUUAACUCCGAAACUGCAUUCGAUACUGCGGUGCUUGAGGACUGGAGAGGAGACUGGAAUUCAUGGUGUAGCGGUGAAAUGCGCAGAUAUCAGGAGGAACACCGGUGGCGAAGGCGGGUCUCUGGGCUGACACUGACGCUCAUGCACGAAAGCGUGGGGAGCAAACAGG